UAUCCAGUGAAGCCUUUGGUCAGUGCCUUUGUCUGCUUUGGCUGCUAUGACAAAUAUCAUAGACGGGGUGACUCAAACAACAGAUAUUUCUUUCUCAUAGUUAUAGAGAUGGAAAAGUCCAGGAGCAGUGUGCUGCCUGAUUUGGUUCCUGGCGAGGGAUGUCUUCCUGGCUAGUAGAGGAAUGCCUUUUCUCUGUGUCCUUAGGCAGCAGGGAAACAGGGCUAUGGUUUCUUUCCCUUCUUAUAAGGGCACUAGCCCUAUUGGAUUAGGGCCUCACCCUCAUUUAACCUUAAUUACCUCCUUAUAGGCUCUAUUUCUAAAUACAGUCGCAUUGGAAGUUAGGCUUUUGAAUUUUGAAUUUUGAAGGAACAAAAUUGAGUCCAUCAAAGUCAAGAUAACUUGGGAUUGAACUCUUUACAUGAAGUCCUGAGGAAGCUCAGAAAACAAGAAAUUAAAAGCUUCUGAGGCUGAUGUGCUACCCACAAAGCACUAUUUGUGCUUCCUAGGGAAGACAUUGAUAUUUCCCAACCUUUCUAGGAUUUAUUUCCAAGGAGCCCAGAGAGAGGAGCUAUAAUGAAGAGCAACUUAAGAACUCUGUUACUGGAAAAAUAAAAGAAAAUUAACAUCCCUACUCAAGACUAGUUGUAUAUAUCGCUGCUCGAAAUACAUAAAAAUAAGUGAAAAUAAGCUGGUCUUGGUAGCAUGUGCCUGUAGUCCCAGCUACUUGUGAGGAUGAGGUGAAAAAAUUGCUUGAGCUCGAGAGUUCAAGACCAGUAUGGGCAACAUAGUGAGACAUCAUCUGAAGAAAAAAUUGGCAAAAAUAUUUUGUGAUUUAGGUAUUUAUAUGUAAUGUUAAUGUAUGUAUUCUAAGUAUGCCCUCUUUGUUUCUUCAUACUUUAAUAAAGGAUUCAUGAAGUCAGUA